GAAUAUUUCCAAAGUUGAGGAAGAAUGCAGCUAAUGCAUCUAGUGAUAUUUUAAUCUGGAUAAUGAUAGUUAAUCUAUAUAGAGGUCAUCUUUAUGGUUUCUUAUGAUGUAAAUGACCUGAAGUGAGAUUUGGGCUCAUAUAAGCCUUGUGCUCCUACAUUCCUUCCUCAAGCAUGUCACUUUAGCAUUUAAUUGAAUUAUAAAGAUAAAUGUAAAGAUAGCAUUAAACUAUCAUAGGAAACUUAAAUGGUGGUUAUUCUUGUUUAUAACCUAUUAUUUUCAUUGACUUGAUUCAAACAAACCAUAGUUAAGACUAACCACCGUUUGGGUUUUUUUUUAAAUGAAAUGACAAGCUGUGUUUUAUCAAACAUGAACAAAAAAGGAAGCAAAAGCCUUAUGGAAGAAGGAUGGAUGAGGGCAAAAGACAAGAUUCAAGACCCAGGUUUAGGAUGUAUGUUGACUGGAUAGCCUUUGGAUAGCUUUCACCUUUGGCACUUUAUGACAUAAGAGAUUUUUUUUCUGAGAGUGGUUGCCCAAAAAAGAAACUUUUUCAAACUAUGCACACUUCCUCUAAGAAGGAGAAUAUCAAUGGAAAAUGGAAUAAACUGAGCAUAUUAUGUGGCAUAGGUUCACAUGGGCUCUGCAACAAAAGCAGCAAAUGUGAGAAUGGCAGGGGAGUUGCAGAAUGAGAGAGAGGUUGCUUGGGCAAGUUUCUCCCCCGGCACCACUGCUAGCAGUCUGACAAAAGGCCUCUUGGAGGAAGCAAAGCCUCAAGGGAAUUGUGCUGAUUCUACUGAGACCUCAAGGUUCAAUGAUUUCUCAUCUGGACAAUAUUUGAAUAACUUGCUGUCUAGUUAUGUCCUUGUAAUCUGUUUCUUUUAUUUUUAUUUAUUUAUUUUAAAGACCCUGAACCAUGAGGAAGAACGGAAGCAGCCCAUCCAGCAUGAACACCACUUGCCAGCAUCGGAGCUUGUGUUAUGACCGCCUGAUCGAAAAAUGUGUGAGCUGCAAAGAGAUGCAGAGAGGCACUGAAAAAGAACCAACCACUAUUCUCAGAGUGGCCAACCCUACAACCCGUAUACCAGCAGGACCUUUUACUGAAGAUCACACUUGCUCAGCCCUUGCCUUUGGUCUCUACAUUUUUGUGGGGCUAAUCCUUGCCUUGGCAGUGCUGUGGCUUGUAACAAACCUGAGACAAAAGAAAAAGAAGAGGAUGAAAAAAGCAGAUGAGGAAGAUCCUAAAGAAAAUAAGGACUCCUUUGAAAAUGAAGUUCAUGAAGACCAUAGCUGCGGGCAAGGAGAUGAUGCUCCUGGACUACUUAAAUGCCCACAUGAAAAUGGCACUUCAAACACUGCUGGUGAUGAAAUUUUAAUGAGGAACAUGUACCAUAUUGUUAAGGCAGGAAGUGAUGCCUCUGAAGUUGUUCCCCGGUCUCCCCUCAAUGAAGAACGCAGCCCUGCUUUUCCAGUGCCGGCAACUGAACUUGGAACAACUAUGCUGGUAACGGCCAAGACGACUCAGGGGAAUUUUCUUAGUGAAAAGUUGCCUUAACAAUAGGUUUAAAACUGCUGGGACCGGCAGGUACUCCCUAAAAUGUGAUAUCAGUACUUUUAGUAUGAUGAAAGGCUAUUGAAUGGAUACAGGCACUAGAGGUUUCUCUCACUUCUAAUGGAAGUAGGUUUGCUGUUUGCCAAAUUCUAAUGUAAUGAAGCCGGCCUCAGCUGCCAGAGGAUUUCAGUUUUGGUUCAGAUCAGAAAAAGUAAGUUAAUAAUAAUGGGAUAAUUUACCGCCCCUUGCCUGGCUGCCUUUGAAAUGGGAGAAGACAAAAAGAAAAGAUAAGUCUAAGGAAAUAAAAUUAUUAUUCAGCGCA
ensembl:lncRNA uncharacterized LOC110076075